rnacentral:rRNA from 1 species
GACGAACGCUGGCGGCGUGCUUAACACAUGCAAGUCGAACGGAAAGGCCCUGCUUUUGUGGGGUGCUCGAGUGGCGAACGGGUGAGUAACACGUGAGUAACCUGCCCUUGACUUUGGGAUAACUUCAGGAAACUGGGGCUAAUACCGGAUAGGAGCUCCUGCUGCAUGGUGGGGGUUGGAAAGUUUCGGCGGUUGGGGAUGGACUGGCGGCUUAUCAGCUUGUUGGUGGGGUAGUGGCUUACCAAGGCUUUGACGGGUAGCCGGCCUGAGCGGGUGACCGGCCACAUUGGGACUGAGAUACGGCCCAGACUCCUACGGGAGGCAGCAGUGGGGAAUAUUGCACAAUGGGCGGAAGCCUGAUGCAGCAACGCCGCGUGCGGGAUGACGGCCUUCGGGUUGUAAACCGCUUUCGCCUGAGACGAAGCGUGAGUGACGGUAAUGGGUAAAGAAGCACCGGCUAACUACGUG